rnacentral:rRNA from 1 species
UUGGGCGUAAGAGCUCGUAGGUCGUUUGUUACGUCGGAUGUGAAAACCUGAGGCUCAACCUCAGGCCUGCAUUCGAUACGGGCAAACUAGAGUUUGGUAGGGGAGACUGGAAUUCCUGGUGUAGCGGUGGAAUGCGCAGAUAUCAGGAGGAACACCAAUGGCGAAGGCAGGUCUCUGGGCCAAUACUGACACUGAGGAGCGAAAGUCUGGGGAGCGAACAGGAUUAGAUACCCUGGUAGUCCAGACCGUAAACGGUGGGCACUAGUUGUGGGAACCUUCCACGGUUUCUGCGACGCAGCUAACGCAUUAAGUGCCCCGCCUGGGGAGUACGAUCGCAAGAUUAAAACUCAAAGGAAUUGACGGGGCCCCGCACAAGCAGCGGAGCAUGCGGCUUAAUUCGACGCAACGCGAAGAACCUUACCAAGGCUUGACAUAUAGGGAAAAGUGGCAGAGAUGUCAUGUCCGCAAGGGCUCUAUACAGGUGGUGCAUGGUUGUCGUCAGCUCGUGUCGUGAGAUGUUGGGUUAAGUCCCGCAACGAGCGCAACCCUCGUUCUGUGUUGCCAGCAUUUAGUUGGAGACUCACAGGAGACUGCCGGGGUUAACUCGGAGGAAGGUGGGGAUGACGUCAAAUCAUCAUGCCCCUUAUGUCUUGGGCUGCACGCAUGCUA